rnacentral:rRNA from 1 species
GACGAACGCUGGCGGCGUGCUUAACACAUGCAAGUCGAACGGAAAGGCCCUGCUUUUGUGGGGUGCUCGAGUGGCGAACGGGUGAGUAACACGUGAGUAACCUGCCCUUGACUUUGGGAUAACUUCAGGAAACUGGGGCUAAUACCGGAUAGGAGCUCCUGCUGCAUGGUGGGGGUUGGAAAGUUUCGGCGGUUGGGGAUGGACUCGCGGCUUAUCAGCUUGUUGGUUGGGUAGUGGCUUACCAAGGCUUUGACGGGUAGCCGGCCUGAGAGGGUGAACGGCGACAUUGGGACUGCGAUACGGACCAGACUCGUAUGGGAGGCAGUAGUGGGGAAUCUUGCACAAUGGGCGGAAGCCUGAUGCAGCAACGCCGGGUGCGGGAUGACGGCCUUCGGGUUGUAAACCGCUUUCGCCUGUGACGAAGAGUGAGUGACGGUAAUGGGUAAAGAAGCACCGGCUAACUACGUG